rnacentral:lncRNA from 1 species
UAUAUAUUUUGGAGAUGAAGCCCUUGUCACUUGCAUCAUUUGCAACUAUUUCUACCAUUCUAUAUGUUGUCUUUUUGUUUUUUCUUUUAAUGGUUUCCUUUGAUGUGCAAAAUCUUGUAAGUUUGAUUAGAUCCCAUUGGUUUAUUUUUGUUUUUAUCUCUAUUGCCUUGGUAGACUGGCUUAAGAAAACAUUUGUAUGGUUGAUGUCAGAGAAUGUUUUGCCUACGUCCUCUUCUAGGAGUUUUAUGGUGUCUUGUCUUAUGUUUAAGUCUUUACAUCAUUUUCAGUUUAUUUUUGUGCAUGGGGUGAGGGUGUAUUCCAGUUUCAUUGACUUAACAUGCAUCUGUCCAGUUUUCCCAGCACCACUUGCUGAAAAAACUGCUUUUCCCCCCAUUAUUGAUUAAUUGACUGUAGUAUCUGGGUUCUCUAUUCUGUUCCAUUGGUCUGUAUGUCUGUCCUGGUACCAGUACCACACUGUCUCUUUUACUGUGGCUUUGUAGUAUAGCCUGAAGUCUGGGAGUGUUAUGCCUCCUGCUUGUUUCCUAAAUAUUGCUUUGGUUCCAUAUAAAUUUUUGGAUUGUUUGUUCUAGUUCUGAGAAAAAUAUCACAGGUAAUUUGAUAGAGAUUGCAUUGAAUCUGUAGAUUGCUUUGAGUAGUAUGGCCAUUUUUACAAUAUUAAUUUUUCCAAGCUAGGAGCAUGAAAUAUCUUUCCAUUUCUUUGAAUCCUCUUUAAUUUCUUUGAUCAAUGUUUUAUGGUUCUCAGUAUAUACGCCUUUCACUCCUUGGUCAGGUUUAUUCCUAAGUAUUUAAUUUUGUGGGAUGAGAUUUUAGAAGGUAUUUUUAAAUAUUUCUUUUCUAAUAUUUCAUUGUUAGUGUACAGAAAUGUGACCAAUUUCUGAACGUUAAUCUUGUAUCCUGCUACUUUGCUGAAUACACUGAUCAGUUUGAGUAGUUUUUGGGUUGAGUCCUUAGGGUUUUCUAUAUAUAGUAUCAUGUCAUCUGCAUACAGUGACAAUUUUACCUCUUCUCUUCCAAGUUGGAUACUUUUAUUUCUUUUGUUUGUCCAAUUGCUGUGGCUAGGACUUAAAAUACUGUGUUGAAUAAAAGUGGUAAGAGUGGUGAUCCUUGUCCCAUUCCAGAUUUUAGCAGAAAGGCUUUAAGCUUUUCCACAUUGAGUAUAAUAUUGGCUGUAGGUUUGUCAUAAAUGGCUUUAAUUCUGUUAUGUUCCCUUUGUACCCACUUUGGUAAGAGUUUUUAAAAUGAAUGGAUGCCAGGUUUUGUUAAAUGCUUUUCCUGCGUCUAUUGAGGUGAUGAUAUAGUUUUUGACUUUUCUUUUGUUAAUGUGGUACAUGAUGUUGAUUGAUUUGUGUAUGUUGAACCAUCCUGUCAACUUGGGAUGAAUCCCACUUGGUUGUGGUGUAUGAUUUUUUUUAUGUGUUGUUGAAUUUUGUUGGCUUAAAUUUUGUUAAGAUUUUUUUGCAUCUAUAUUCAUUAAAGUCUAUGAUUUUCUUUUUUGGUAGUAUCUUUGUCUGGUUUUGGUAUUAGGGUGAUGGUGACUUCAUACAAUGUUUUUGGGAAUUUUCCUUCUUCAGUCUCUUGGCAAAGUUUAAGAAGGAUGAGUAUAUGUUCUUUGUAUAUUUGGUAUGAUUCACCUUUGUCUCUUGUAUGAUAUCUCGAACUUUAGGUUUUUUUUUUUUUUUUUUCUUUGAUGAUGUCCUUUGGAUCUACCAUAUGCAUGUAUGAUUCAGGGAUUAUCCAGGUACUUUGGAAGAUGGUGUGUACACAUCUGGGUCUCUCCCUCUCUAAAUCAUUCCUUGUAGGGAAUUUCCAUUCACUUUUCAGUAGCUGUGGUUUCCCUAGAUUUUGUUCCUUGGUGCUUUUCUUCAAAAUAUACUUGAUUUUUCUAUUAAAGAUUUUGUUUCCCUGCACGACAUUAACUUCAUCCUGCCUUUAGACAGAAGGCAUACACACUUUUAAUUCACUUGUACCAAUCCCUUCUAUGAAAUCUCAGCUCCUAUCUAGAAAUUGAAUGCCUAAGUUUACUCCCUAGGACUUUUUGAUAUUUCAUUUUUGUUAUGUAUUUUAUCCAUGCUUUAUAAUUAUCUAUUGUGGGCUAGGGUAUGGUAGGAGAUUUCUUGUUCAUAUUAGAAGUGGAAACAUAAUUUACAAUAAAACUAAUUUCUUUUCUAAAAUGGAAAAACUAUGAUCUGCCCAUUUCCCAUGAAAUUUCAAAAUUUGGUGCUUAGAUUAUAUUUGGAAGAGAAUACAAACCCAGUUAAGCUCUACCAUGUAAAAAUCACCACAAAACUAUGUAAACAGGCUAAGCAUAACAUAAAAUAUAAUAUAUACUUCUGACAGAAUUCAGCUUCAAACUCAUUAUUAAUAUUUGAGGGGCCUGGGAUGAAUUCUGAGAUAUAACAUUAGAGAAUAGAUGAGGGAAAAAUUCAUCCAAGGCUUCUGAAAAUAGGUAUUAGCCCACUGAUGUUCUCUAAGAAUUUAAGUGGUUCUUUUAGGAACUCUAGCCCCCCAAAUAUCAUCUUGGAUGAAGUUCUCUAAUACUGACUCUAGAAUGGGGAGAGAGAAAGUAAUACUAAUAUACAUGAAUCCAGUGAUGAUGGUGGGAAAUAUUUAUUUAUGGAGAUAUGUUAGAUACCCAAAGAAGUAUUUAUGGAAAGAAGAACCACUAGUUUAAACUUCUACAUGAAGAGAAAGUGUGAAAGGAAAAGUUAUUAUAUAUAAUUGAGGAAUUCUGUACGGCUUAUAUAUUAGUUCUACAUGCAUGACUUCUAAAUCAUAAGCAGAAGGAGGAAAAUUUUUAAGAGAAAGGAAAGCUAACUUUUUGAUUUUUUUUAAAUGUAGAUGCUUCAGAGCCCAUUUUAUGUCUCCAACCUGUCUUAUUGCUGAUUACCCUGUGGCAAUCUGGACAGAACAGGAAUCUAAGAGGCUGACAGGGAGGGAACUAUACAGGGACUAGGGUCAUUUCCAAACCCUGGCCCACAGCUCAAAAACAAUUCAUUAAUCUUUGACAAGUAUAAAACUUAGUUGCUGGUGAUGUGAGAAAGUAAAUUAUUGAAGCUGAAUGUCCUUAUAGCCCAUGAGCUUGGAAAAGUAAAAUUACAUUUGGGUGCAUUCAUGAGGUGGACCAAGCUGGUUUACUGGUUUAAGCAUCUCUCCUGAUGGUGUACUUGCUGCUGGUGGGGACAUGGCCAUCUGUGAAAAGGUCUUUGAAAGGCUCCAGGAGAGCGCUGUGGUUCUCUGCCUAGAGGAGUCCCCAGCCAGGCAAACUUGGAGGGUCUAGAAUUUUAUUGGGAACCAGGGACUUGCCAUGACUCAAAGAAGCUUUUGCAGUUGCUCACUAUGGAGCCUCCCCUUGAGAAGUCUUCAUAUUUUUAUCCAGCUUAAUGUUUUAGUUGGCCUGAAGUCACUUUGGCUAGAGAUUUCUGCCUUUUCUUUAGGUUGUUUUCUGGAGAACAGAGUCACUCUUUCAGUUCUCUUUACGGAGGUCCCAGCAGCCUUCAGGCUGUAAUUGGGCCCUUUAAGCAUCUGUAGGCCUCUCUUUUUUUGAGAGAGAUGGCCAGAAUGGCCAAGGAUUUACUUAUUACUUCUGCAAGGAUAUUUAUCUGAACAAGUUAAUUAUUUUCCGGUUGCAAUAGAAGGAGUGAGUAGAAAUUCCCCCUUAGGAGGACACCCUCUAAAUUAUCUGCCUCUCAUCUUUUUAUAAUUUCUGAUCCCCUAAACUUUACCCAUCACCCAGUACUGUGUCACCAUAUGAUUUUUUGACAGCUAGUAUGUCAGGUUUCUCUAGUAAAAUAGAUGCUGACUAGGGUGUAGAGCUACUUUGGCAGAUAUGGAGGCAUCACUGGCCAUAGCCAGAUACCAAGGACACCCAAGCCUCGUGUAAAGGCAAUCAUACUCUUUCUCUCCUGUACUAACAGGAAAUAUUUUUUUCUCAGUACUAACAAUCUUUGUGAGAUAAAUUAUUUGCAACUAUUCUGGGGAGAUGGUUCUCUU